rnacentral:rRNA from 1 species
GCUUAUACUCGACCGUCAGCGGCACGUGCGAUCGAUAGCGCCGGCUCUCGGGCCGGCGCGCGGUCACGAAGCCCUGACGAGUAGGAGGGUCGCGGCGGUGAGCGCAGAAGGGCUGGCCGCGAGGCCGUCUGGAGCCGCCGUCGGUGCAGAUCUUGGUGGUAGUAGCAAAUACUCCAGCGAGGCCCUGGAGGACUGACGUGGAGAAGGGUUUCGUGUGAACAGCCGUUGCACACGAGUCAGUCGAUCCUAAGCCCUAGGCGAAAGCCGWAGUCGAUGCGGUGUAGUUUAAGAAGCGCGCGAUAACACGAACUUCUAACGACGACGACGAAAUAAACGUUAAUUCGUCUCGUCGUCGAAGUAUAUAACGCGAGAGCAGCACACACCCGUCGGGCGAAAGGGAAUCCGGU